UACGAAGGUGGCAAGCGUUACUCGGAAUUACUAGGCGUAAAGCGCAGGUAGGUGGUUAGGUAAGUCCGUAAUGAAAUCUCCCGGCUUAACUGGGAGGGGUUUAGGGAUACUGCUUGACUCGAGUGUGGGAGAGGGUACUGGAAUUCCAGGUGUAGCGGUGAAAUGCGUAGAUAUCUGGAGGAACACCAAUGGCGAAAGCAGGUACCUGGCCCAAUACUGACACUGAGCUGCGAAAGCUAGGGGAGCAAACAGG
rnacentral:rRNA from 1 species